rnacentral:rRNA from 1 species
AGCCAGACUCCUACGGGAGGCAGCAGUGAGGAAUAUUGGUCAAUGGGCGGGAGCCUGAACCAGCCAAGUCGCGUGAGGGAAGACGGUCCUAUGGAUUGUAAACCUCUUUAGGCGGGGAGCAAUGCCGGGCACGCGUGCCCGGAGGGAGAGUACCCGCAGAAUAAGCAUCGGCUAACUACGUGCCAGCAGCCGCGGUAAUGCGUAGGUGGCAAGCGUUAUCCGGAUUUACUGGGUGUAAAGGGCGUGUAGGCGGGACUGCAAGUCAGAUGUGAAAACCAUGGGCUCAACCCAUGGCCUGCAUUUGAAACUGUAGUUCUUGAGUGUUGGAGAGGCAGGCGGAAUUCCGUGUGUAGCGGUGAAAUGCGUAGAUAUACGGAGGAACACCAGUGGCGAAGGCGGCCUGCUGGACAAUAACUGACGCUGAGGCGCGAAAGCGUGGGGAGCAAACAGGAUUAGAUACCCUAGUACA